rnacentral:lncRNA from 1 species
GAGCUAGGAACACAGGCACUACCCUGAAGAUGAGAUAGAAUAAAGCUUUCCUUCAUUUUGCCCUUGGUCAUGAAGGUSAAGCCUGGCAAAGUGCUGCUGGAUGGAUGGAGUUACUUGAACUACUGUGCUCAGGCUGAAACAACUGCUGAGUUCCACCAGGGGCUGCUGUUGAACUUCUAAAAAAGAUCAUAUUUUGGAGGAGAAGAGGCUGUUUUAGAGACAUGAAAUGACAGCUUCCUCAGAGCCAGAUUCUGGAUCCUGAUAGAUCUGCACUUCUCAAAGCCGG